GUCCAGACUCCUACGGGAGGCAGCAGUGGGGAAUAUUGCACAAUGGGGGAAACCCUGAUGCAGCGACGCCGCGUGAGUGAAGAAGUAUUUCGGUAUGUAAAGCUCUAUCAGCAGGGAAGAAGCAAGACGGUACCUGACUAAGAAGCCCCGGCUAACUACGUGCCAGCAGCCGCGGUAAUACGUAGGGGGCAAGCGUUAUCCGGAUUUACUGGGUGUAAAGGGAGCGUAGACGGUAUGGCAAGUCUGGAGUGAAAGGCGGGGGCCCAACCCCCGGACUGCUCUGGAAACUGUAGAGCUAGAGUGCAGGAGAGGUAAGUGGAAUUCCUAGUGUAGCGGUGAAAUGCGUAGAUAUUAGGAGGAACACCAGUGGCGAAGGCGGCUUACUGGACUGUAACUGACGUUGAGGCUCGAAAGCGUGGGGAGCAAACAGGAUUAGAUACCCUUGUA
rnacentral:rRNA from 1 species